rnacentral:rRNA from 1 species
CCUACGGGUGGCUGCAGUGGGGAAUAUUGCACAAUGGGCGCAAGCCUGAUGCAGCCAUGCCGCGUGUGUGAAGAAGGCCUUCGGGUUGUAAAGCACUUUCAGCGGGGAGGAAGGCGGUGAGGUUAAUAACCUCAUCGAUUGACGUUACCCGCAGAAGAAGCACCGGCUAACUCCGUGCCAGCAGCCGCGGUAAUACGGAGGGUGCAAGCGUUAAUCGGAAUUACUGGGCGUAAAGCGCACGCAGGCGGUCUGUCAAGUCGGAUGUGAAAUCCCCGGGCUCAACCUGGGAACUGCAUUCGAAACGGGCAGGCUAGAGUCUUGUAGAGGGGGGUAGAAUUCCAGGUGUAGCGGUGAAAUGCGUAGAGAUCUGGAGGAAUACCGGUGGCGAAGGCGGCCCCCUGGACAAAGACUGACGCUCAGGUGCGAAAGCGUGGGGAGCAAACAGGAUUAAUACCCCUGUAGUC